AGUAGGAAUAAGGGACAGUUGGUAGGUUGUUAAGCUGCACAAAGUGGGAACUAACAAAGCAAUGACUACUGCCUGUAUCAACCAAAAUAAGAAUGGUCUUGUUCUUUAAAGUGGCCUUGAGUUGAAUGGAAUCCUCAGAAUGAGUACCAAAUAUUGCAUUCAGAGACAACUAUCCAAAAUUUUCAGUGAGAGCUUCAUCAAUAGCCAGCUCAUUUAACACAUCUUCAUUGAGCUCCCUACCUAGGUCAGUAACUACCAAAGCAUUUACAUGAGAUUCGUUCCUCUUGGCACAAACUUCUACAUGUCGUGGUUCAUAUUUCUCCCCACACUGGUAGCACAAAUUGUUUGCUUUUCUAUAGUCACGAAGCUGUUUGUCCCUCCACAAAUUGCCAUAUUGAGUUGGAGGCUUAUUCUCUUGUCUGGAUGGCAUGGGCUUCAUAUGAGCAUUUCUAUUUUGUUGCUUAAGCUUUUGUCGGUCUGCUACAUUUUGUUGGAUCCUAGCGAUGACUGUAGCCCUUUCAAUAGUUGUUGGAACCUGAGGUUCAACCACAAUGCAUAUAUCAUCACGUAGGCCUCUGACUUACUGAGUGGCAAAGAACAAUGGAUCAUAUUGAGAACUAUGCAUAGAUACAUCAUAUUGCAGGUGAUGAGGACAUUCCAACUAUGCAUGCUCAUUCAAGUCCAAAUGCUACAUAUCAAGGUCCACUUACAAGAAGCGGUGCCAAGAAGCUACAAGAGCAGGUGAAUUCUUUCCUUCGUGAUUGUAAUUUUCACACUUCUAAAAAUGUUAUACUAUCUAAGAGCUCUACAUUGCACUGCUAGAGAAUCGGCCUUUAGUCCCGGCCAGGAAGGGGCUUUAGCCCCGGAUUCCGAGCCGGGACUACGCUUCCGGGACUAAAGCCCCCCCUUUAGUCCCGGCUCUGUGCAUCGGGGCCAAAGACCCACCCUUUAGUCUCAGGCAGUAUUACCAGCCAGGGUAUUACCAGCUAGGACUAAAGGGUGCUGCCAGCGGUGCCACACAGCAGCACCCUUUAGUCCCGACUAGUAGUACCGCCCGGACUAAAUGGGCCCCUUGUUUUUUCUUUUUCUUUUCUAUUCAGUUCUGUUUUUUUAGUUUUGUUUAUUUAUACAAUAGGUUUUCCAAUAUGUAUAUAUAUAUAUAUUAGCAGCAUAUGACAAUAAGCUUAUUUUAUACAUAUAUAACUACAUAUAUAUAUAUAUAUAUAUAUAUAUAUAUGCACAUAAAUAUAUAGAAGUUGUUCUCUAAAUCUAUUACUGCACAAGUUGUACUCCAAAGUUAAUACUCUAAACCUAUUACAAGUUGUACUUCAUCAUCCAAAGAUCUACAAAGCAUACAAAUGAUCAUCAUUGUUUGGAAUCAUCUUCUCGCUAGGAUUAUAGUGGAACUCACCGCUUGGAUUUAUGACUUGUUCCCGAAGAAAUCCUACUAUUGCCUCUUGUAUUACUUGGAGUUGUUCUUGUUGCAUGAGUUUUUACUUCAACCAUUCAGUCUUCAAUUUGAACUAAAAUAAGGUAUUAGUUAUAUCAAGAUUAUCAAUAGUAAUUUGAGAGAAAAUGAAAAGAGACAUGUGUUACAUACUCUGAGGUAUUCUUUAGGAAUUCUAUUUGUUACUGCCAUAAUAUACUUGCAAACGUAGUAUCCACAUAAGUUGUUCCCCGGUUAUUAUCUCAAGAUCCACUGUAGGAUCUAAAGAUUCAUCUCAUAAAAAAGACAAGAUAUAAGAUAUACCACGUACAUUGACGAAGGAUAAACUUACUUGUAGCUGUAUUAUCUUUAGUGGCACCCUACGUUGAGUUAGAUGCUCCCGAACAAUGAAUCUUUCCCAAACUCUAAACCAAUGAUAUAUUUGAAACAAGAGAGUUGGAUCAUUAAGUAUGCAUAUAUACAAGCUUAGUCUACUUUACGCAUGCAAUGGAUCAAAAUUACCUUUGAAUGAUGUCUAUCAUAUCUUAGUAAUCUUGUUGCGGUUUCUUCAUUGAGUCAUAGAUUACCAACUUACUUUCAGCAAGAUCGAUGAUUAUGAGUAUCCAGUGAAAGUUGUUCAU
rnacentral:lncRNA from 1 species